GGCUGGAGUGCAGUGGCGCGAUCUCUGCUCACUGCAAACUCUGCCUCCCAGGUUGAAGUGAUUCUCAUGCCUCAGCCUCCUGUGUACCUGGGACUACAGAUGUAGGUGAAUAAUGUGAGCAUGGCUUUGUCUUUCUUCCACAUGUUUCUGAGACAACACAGACUUCACACAUCCCUGCGCUGUUGCCAACAGUACGCCUCGAGUGCCACUCCUGGGGCCUUCCCCAGCCCUGGACACAGCCGUUUCCUCUCAAAUCAAUGAUGACCAGAGAAUUCAUAAGGCAGCAAAUGACUUCCCCAUAUUAGGGCUGCUGCGAAGUACCACAUAGAGAAAUAAUGUACAACCCUGGAAAAAGCUCAAGGCCUGGGAAAACACCAAGUGCCUGGAAUCUGUUGUUUGUUGUGAAAUCAAUGCUAAAUCUAUAAAAAGCUAAAGUGGACGGACUUAUAUGGAAGAAACUUUUAAUUCAACGAUUUGGAUGAAGAAAUGCAUAAGAGGCGUCCUUUCCCAAAUCUGAUGUGAUCCCGUCCUGGUUUUAAAUUGAGAUGCAGAGCUCCUGAGAGGACAGCUGAUGUGCGUCCAUGUUUGGGAGCCACACUGUGGCUUCCCUUGGCCCCUUUAAGCGGCUGCCUGUCCCUGGCCAGGGAAGACACAGGUGAGAUAGGCCACAGGUGCUUCCUGAAACUGUCUCCUCCUGCCUCCACUUGACGUUAGCUUUGCAAAUCCUGGGGGCUUUGUGGGCACCUCUGGGAUGCAACUUGUUGGUUUCGUGUCCACUUUGCCAGGACCUGCCAGCAGAUAUGGGUUGCUUGUCUUCUUUGUCCCCAAGUCCCUAUGCACCUCCUGAUGGUCUGUGGCCUGGAUGGGAUGGAGUCCUCUGCACCAGGCACCUUCUUAAGGCUCUACCCACCACCAUUCCCAUUCUCUCUGCUUGUUACUAUAAUCCCCGUUUUUAGAGGAGGAAACAGCUCAUAAAGGCUCAGUCAUUUUACUCAAAUUCAGCAGCAAAGCUUGGAUCUGAACCGAAAGUUUUGUCGUACUUGCCACUUUCUCCUCUGGAUGACGUUUUGGUGGCUCCAUGUUACAUUCUCCACUAGACUGUACACCUUUUGAGCUCAAGGGCUGUUCUAUCCAUCGAGCCCAGUCUUACACAUGGAUGUUGCUGAAAGUGGAUGAGGAUGGAUGGAUGGAUGUUGGUGAAAAUUAAAGGGAAACAGAGGAUGAUAUUGAUAGAAUUAAGGGAAGUUUCUUUUGUAUAUAACUUUUAUUCUGAUUAUAAUGUUAUUACAUGGUCCUAAACAUCCAAAUACAGGAAUGUAGAAUAUAUCA